AUGACGUUUGAUCAAAAUUCGGUUCCCCAAGAUUUGAGGCCUUUAAAUGUAGCGAGGUCUGUGGCUGAGGAGCCCCCCCGCAUUGCAUUGGCUACUUCAGCUGGGUUUAUACCCAAUUUGGCUCAAGGUAGUAGUCCUAUGUAUUACCCUGGGCCGGUUUCGGAGGCGGGGUAUGUUGGUUUAGGGUAUGGGAAUCCGGUGUCCACAUGGGGGCCGAGGAUGCCUGUGACGGUGGGGCAUCAGGGUGUGAGCCCUGCGAUGGGAGUUGGAAUCGGUUACAGUCCUAAUUUGGGGAGUAGGGUUGUUGGGAAUGCUGUUGAUCUUGUGAGCUCUCCUGCUACAGCUGGAGCUGGGCCUUAUGUGUGUAGUUCGAAUAUGGGGAAUAUGGUUGUUGGUAAUGGUAUGGAUCAGGGUGUUAGUGAUAUGUCAGCUCGGUUUGGUUAUAGUACCAAUUUAGGCAGUAAGGGCAAUAUUGCUGAUCAUGAUCAAGCCAGUGAUGAUGGUGGAGAUGAUUCUGUGUCAGGGAAGAAAAUAAAGCUGCUGUGCAGUUUUGGAGGCAAGAUUUUGCCCAGACCAAGUGAUGGGAUGUUGAGAUAUGUUGGAGGACAUACAAGGAUUAUUAGUGUUCGGAGAGAUGUGAACCUGAACGAGCUAGUGCAGAAAAUGGUGGAUUCGUAUGGGCAAUCUGUGGUUAUCAAGUAUCAGCUACCCGACGAGGAUCUUGAUGCACUAGUGUCAGUUUCAUGUGCUGAUGAUCUUGACAAUAUGAAGGAUGAGUAUGAGAAGUUGGUGGAGAAAUCUCCAGAUGGGUCAGCAAAAUUGAGGGUAUUUCUUUUUUCUGCUUCAGACCUUGAUACAUAUGGUUCUGUAAAGUAUGGGGAUUUAAAUGAGAGUGGCCAGAGAUAUGUUGAUGCUGUGAAUGGGAUUUCGGAUGGGGUUGGUAGUGGUAUCAUGAGGAGGGAGAGUAUAACAAGUGCAACUUCAACUCAAAAUUCUGAUUAUAGUGGAAUUGAUGUUGUUGAUAGUUCCGUUCCUAGCCAGGGGGACAAGUUAUCCCCUAAAGGAGAUUUGACAAACUCUCAGGACACUGGUACAAGAUUGGGUUUUCCAGAUCCAAAUCCUGCAGUGGUUUCUACUAUUCCAUCAGGCAUUAAUGUGGUUAAGACUGGGCCUCCCCAAACAUCAUAUUCCCCCCCUGAGGUUGAGUUUGAAAGGACUGCUCCUGUUACAGUAUCACAGCAGCAACUGGGGUUGCAGCAACCUGGAAUUGACAUUCAGUCAACUUCUCCAUAUCUGCAAGCUUAUGUUAGCCCUCACCAGCUUCCUCCCCAUAUGGGAUUCCCAAACAAUCACCUGUUUGGGACUGCUGGUCCUGUCUAUACCCAACAACAAUUCCGUGAUAGUGGUGCUGGCAUGACCUCACAUCAUUUUGUUCCUGCUGUGCAUAUGACAAUGAGUCCAUCUUCUCAUGUUAAUAUGAGACCAAAUGUACUUCAGCCAUUGAUGCAACCCCAACAGACUCGAUUGGAUCAUCAUUAUGUGGAUGAAAGUGCCUUUUGUCCCAGAGUUGUCCAGCUUCCCGCUGAACAAAGCUAUAAUACAUAUCAGGUUCAGGUCCCCUCACCAGCACCAGGAGGUGCUUAUGGUUGGCAUCAGAUUACACCACAGGAGCAUGUGAUGUAUCGUGAUGGUUUGGUAUCGCACCAACAGGUAAUGUAUCCUGAGAAAUCCAACAGGUUGGAAGACUGCUUUAUGUGUCAGAAGGCUUUGCCUCAUGCACAUUCUGACCCGGUACCAGUACAGGGUCAGCGCGAUGGUGGUGCGAGUCCUGUAUCUGAUUCAGAUUCAAAUUACCAUGGUCUUCUUCUUGAGGAAAACUGGAGACCUCAGCCAACAAACAGGGUGUUGGUAAGUGGAGCAUUGGGGGAAGGUAAUUUAGGGCAGGGAGUUGAUAUUCGACCCAGAGUCCAAGGCCUGGUAGAUCCUCUUGGAACAUCACAUUCAGAUGGCGCAGGGAUAGUGCAGAAUUCUUCUGAGUGCAUAUAUGAGGAGAGAAAUUAUCUUCAUCAAGCGGAUCAUCCAAUGAUAUCAGCUCCCCAGGGCGUCAUGAGGAGGGCUGCCCCAGCCCAGUAUCAUGUUAAACAUGAAGAUUUGGUUAACACUCCAGUUAAUCAAGAAGUUCCACUUACUGGAGCCCUGAAUGUUCAAACUUCAGACCUGGUUCGCGAGUCUCCGCAAGUAUACUUUAAUAAAUUUCCAAAAGAAGAGAUGAUGGAAACAAUCAGGAUAAGCCCGUCAGAGGUUUAUGUUAAAAAUGAGCAUGCUAAGUCACCUAUUGAAACACCUAGAAGGGAAGACAGCUAUGAUCAACAACCACCACAACUUGCAGGAAGGGAGUUACCUGUAGAGAAUACCUUAGACAAGAAUCAGUUUGUUCCAACUGAAGUACUAGCUUCUUACACUACUGGAGCCCCACAAGUCCAUACUACACAACCAGUAGAAAUCAAUGAAACACCACAACCACCUGUGUGGGGAAAUCCUGAAUCUUAUCAGCAAUCAAGAAUUGGAUUCCCUGUGGAUUCUCAUGCAUUCCAUUAUGGAAACCCUGUUGUGUCCACCCCUCUACCUACCAGAACUCAACCUCCUGCUGAAAGGAGAAACGAGAACUUGAGAUUGCAUCCCAACAUGGUACAUACUGAUGUUGAAGUUGUUACCUUGAAUGGUAACAUGCCAUCUUCUUUCUCUCCACCUAUGAUAACAGUUGAUGUCCAAGACUCUUCAAACUCACUAUUCAGCGAUCAGGAUCCUUGGAAUUUGCGCCAUGACACUCAUCUUCCGCCUCCUAUACCUACCAAAAUACAAUUGAAAAAGGAACCCUGUACAAAUAGAGAUCUCUUUGGUGGCAAUGGUGCAGAACUAAAUACAGAAAUGCAAUUGGAGGAUGGAGGUCAGCCACUGGGUAAUUUGAACAAGGAUCUUAAUCCAGAUCAUGCCCAGUCUUCCAAAGGAUCAGCAGAGGAACAGAUUAAGCAAGACCUUCAAGCUGUUGCUGAGGGUGUAGCUGCCUCAGUUUUUAAGUCAUCUUCACUGUCAAAUCCGGUUUUUAAUGACAAAAAUGAGUCUGCAUAUGAUUCCAACCAAGAUGAAGGUCAAAUCAGCGUUUCAAGACGUCAAGACCAAAUGUCCAGAGAAGCCAAAUUUGGGGUUUUGGAUGUGAUUUCUUACUGUUUUUGGUAGAUUAUUAAGAAUGAUGACCUUGAAGAGCUCAGAGAAUUAGGUUCUGGAACAUUUGGUACAGUCUAUCAUGGAAAGUGGAGGGGCACUGAUGUUGCAAUCAAACGAAUCAACGAUAGGUGUUUUGCUGGGAAGCCUUCAGAACAGGAGCGCAUGAGAAACGAUUUCUGGAAUGAGGCCAUCAAUCUGGCUGACUUGCACCACCCAAAUGUGGUAGCUUUUUAUGGUGUUGUACUUGAUGGCCCAGGAGGUUCUGUGGCAACCGUGACAGAGUUUAUGGUUAAUGGUUCCCUUAGAAAUGCGUUGCAGAAGAAUGAGAAGAGUCUGGACAAGCGCAAACGCCUAUUGAUUGCAAUGGAUGUGGCAUUUGGAAUGGAGUACCUGCAUGGAAAGAAUAUAGUGCACUUUGAUUUGAAAAGUGACAAUUUACUGGUCAAUCUUCGAGAUCCACACCGCCCGAUUUGCAAGGUUGGUGAUUUGGGCCUAUCAAAGGUGAAAUGUCAGACACUGAUCUCUGGUGGCGUGCGAGGAACACUUCCUUGGAUGGCACCUGAACUUUUGAAUGGUAGUAGUAGCCUUGUCUCUGAGAAGGUUGAUGUGUUUUCUUUUGGUAUCGUACUGUGGGAGCUCCUCACUGGAGAAGAACCAUACGGGGACUUGCACUAUGGGGCUAUCAUAGGCGGUAUUGUGAGCAAUACAUUGCGGCCACCAAUCCCUGAGUCUUGUGAUCCAGAGUGGAAAUCAUUGAUGGAGAGAUGCUGGUCAGCAGAGCCAUCUGAGAGACUGAACUUCACUGAGAUUGCAAACCAAUUACGUGCUAUGGCUGCAAAGAUUCCUCCUAAAGUACAAGGCCAAGCACAGCAGCAACCGCCCUCGACGCAGCCUCAGGUUCAAAAGUGAUAUCCAUGCCAGACAUUGCCUGAUCAUCUCAGCUGUCUAU